GUUGAACUGAGCUGCAUCACUGGAAUCUGGAUUUCCCCCUCCCCGCUUCUUUUGAGUGGGUUCCUUUUUCUCCACGCUGUCAACCCCUAAAAAAGGAAAUCAUUUGUAAAUUGCAACGCUCCCCACCGUAGAUUGUACUCCGGGUCGUGUCUCACCUGCACACCGCACCGAACGGCUCUUACUGUACGAACGAGAACCAUGCAUCGGGAGAAAGACUUACCUGAACUGAUGGCGGAGAAGGACAGCCUUGACCCGUCCUUUGUUCACGCGAUGCGCCUGCUCGCCGAAGAAAUUGAAAAGCACGAGGAUGAUGACGGCGGGAAAAAAGAGGAAGAGGUGAAGAAAUAUCUCGACAUCAUCAGCAAUAAAAACAUCAAGCUGUGCGAAAGAGUCCUCAUUCCUGUCCUACAGUACCCAAAGUUUAAUUUCGUUGGAAAGCUGCUGGGACCCCGCGGAAAUUCAAUGAAGCGAUUACAAGAGGAGACAGGGGCGAAGAUGUCCAUUCUUGGCAAAGGUUCAAUGAGGGAUAAAGGCAAGGAGGAGGAGCUGAGGAAAAGCGGCGAGGCUAAAUACGGCCAUUUGAGUAACGAUCUCCACGUCCUGAUCGAGGUCUUCGCCCCGCCCGGGGAAGCCUAUACUCGCAUGAGCAGCGCCUUGGACGAGAUCAAGAAGUUUCUAGUGCCAGACUACAACGACGAGAUCAGGCAGGAGCAGUUGAGAGAGCUCUCCUACUUGAAUGGUUCCGACGAGACCGGCAGGGGGAGGACAGCACCAGCCAGGGCCCUGCGCCCGGCCUUCGCCCCAGCCUCAAGGGGCCGUGGCGGCAUUGGCAGAGGGUCGGUGGCCUCUCGCGGAGCCCUGGUGACUCAGAGCAACCCAGCCAGCGCUGCCGGAACCAGGGACACACCGUCCCACAGGGGCAGGGGGGCACCGGCGAAGCCUGGAUACCGGCCCCCACUGUUACCGAUCACACAUGAGUCCUACGAAGACUACAGCUACGACGACGGGUACGACGGGCAGUACGACGACGAGAGCUACGACGCCCACGACGACAGCUACAGCAACCAGUCCAAAAGCAUUUCAGAAUUUUAUGAAUAUGGACACGGUACCAGUGAUGACUCCUACAAUAACUAUGAGGAGGACUGGGCGGCGUGUCGGCCCAAUCGCAAAGCCCCGACAGCCCGUCUGUCGAGAGGAGGUUUCAGAGAACAUCCUUAUGGGAGAUACUGAAGGUUGAUUUCGUUUUUUUUAUGCACCCCCCCCUCAUAAAAUGUUACGGCUCUUCCUGCCAUCAUCCAUUUGCUCGAAAGCCGUUUUUAUUUCCUUUUUCGGUGGACAAAAAUACUGUAAAGCCAACAAUAAUCUGACCUUUCGAUUUACAAUACAAUGUUCUCUUUUACUUGCCUCAUGUUUAUCUGUUGACGGUGGAUUUGGUAUUUAUGUGACAUGGAGGGAACCUCAGUGGAACCUAAAUGACUUGGAUAUCCAGGCAUAAACCCGGAAAAAAAAUAUAUCACAUAAUAACAACCGAUGUUAAAAGGGCAUUGUUCUGAUGCACUGACAGAACCCCCCAAGAAAUCAGAGUUCAGGGUUUGGAUGAUUAAAAAACAGUUGGGCUGGUAAACAGGUCAAAGCCCAAGCAGAAGUGAAUGUGUUCCCGAAGAAUAACAUGUUGCCAAAAUACCGUAUUUCAUACUUUUUCGAUUGUGGUUUUGGAUCUUUUAUGUGUCCAAUUGAAGUGAUUGGGUCUGCACAGUACUAGAUAAACAACAUAAUUAUCAUAUUUAAUCUACAGCACAUUACACAGGUCAUUGAGGUAGGAAAAAGAUGUAUCUGCACUUGUGAUAUACAGUACAUCUAGAAUUUAUUAUAAUAUUAUUAGUUCUCAAAAAACGAAUUGCACAAUUAAUGACACAAUUCAGCUAGGAUUAAUGUUUGUGUAGAACAUGAAUAUUACUGCAGUAGGGUAAUUAGGGCAACUGAAAGUAUCACCAUGUAAAACAAUAUCAAUACUAUUUCUAAGCUAAACACUGGUAUGAACUCCCAGAAAUCAUAUUUUAACUAGAAUCAACCAACCGCAUGUACUUUCACGUUUCACAAGUUAAAUGUCCAAAAUCCAAAGGCAUUAUUUAUGGCAUGGGUUUUAUGCGAAAUGUGAAUUUGAUCAUUUGAAACUCUUACUACUUUACAAUCCACCUGAAUUGACACUUAAGUAAGCACCUAAACCCGUUUUCACAUUGUGAGAUGUCAGAAAAUGUGUGUUGUUUGUUGGGGCACCGACCAAUCAUGAGUGCACAGUACAGUGUGUAGUUUCUAAACAAGUGCUUUGGUUUUUUCCUAAUAUGUAUUUGUACAUAAAGCAUUUAAUAAAAACAACACAAAAAACAAUCCAGGAUGUGGUGUUAGCCUCUUUAAAUAGGUGUUCAUAAACUCUUAUAAUGUUGCAUGUUGCUUGUUGAGGUUCAAUGUCUUCAACUUUUAAUACCGUGUUUGCUAAAAAGUUUCAUAAAGACAACGGACUCGUCGCGAACCGCUUUAUUUUCACAGUAUUCUCGCUAAAUUGGACACGGCAAUUGGAUAACAACAAAAUGGACGCAGGUUGUUGUUACGACUAAUACAUUGUUUCCUAAUCCAUUCUCAAGUUAAACAGAUUUGUGAAUCUGAGAAUGAUAUGGAGUUUAAAGAGGUAAGACCUCCGCCCAUAUACUCAUUAACUAUCACACUAUUACCAUAUUAAUGUAUUAAAUGUACUAAAAACUUUUGCAGCUUCAUUAAUUCACAACGCAUUAAGGAACCGGAAUGUGGAGAUUGGUAUUCAUGCUCUGACAAGUGGCAUUAAAUGAAAUUAACAACAAUAAAACAUACUGUACUUGUCCGUGCUUUAAACACCACAGCUGAGGUCUGUGAUUCAGCUUUUGUGCCUCUCUUUUGUGACUAGUACACCUGAAGGCUGACUCUUUAAGAGUGUAGUUCCCGGACAGAAAUGAAGACUAAGCAGAUAUAGGGCACUCUGGUCAGUUAAACAGCAGCUGCUGCCUCUGUGCUGCCUUCAAUUAUUGAACACAGAGGGCCCAGCUCUGAGGAGAGAGGCUUGCCACUUACCAUCCAGAGGUGUGAAUAUCCACCGUUGAUCUGCACCAACCACCCCAAAGGCUGGAAUUGGGCUAAGAGAGACGAAACAAGGCGGCAUGGGAACCACGAGCCAAAUUCAACAAAGAAAGCACCUCGGUGACCGCAGAACCCAAAGACUGCAUCGGAGCCCGUCAGCCCCCAGCCCCAAACCCCCCCCCCCCACCACCACCCUCUCUGACAGCUAAUAACUCGGGGGGGCUGAUAACCAGACAGCCCGUGGAUCCAGGGCACUUACUGAGCCGCGCUCAGCCCUCAGCCACCGCGCCAGAGACCUGGCCUGCGGAUGACAAGAAAUACAACACGCACACACAUCAGUACACACGUAACAUACACGCACGCACACACACACACACACACACA